UAAAAAUUUAAUAUUAAAUAUUUAAUUAGUAUUAGUUAAGUUCUUGAAAUUUAAAAAAUUUGGCGGUAUUUUAGUCUAUUCAGAGGAACCUGUUUUGUAAUCGAUAGUCCACGAUGUAUCUAACUUAAAUUUGUUUUUAUAGUUUAUAUAUCGUCGUUUAUUGAAUAUUUUAUAAAAAUAAUAAUUUUCUUAAUUUUUAAUUUAAAAAUAUAUCAGAUCAAGAUGUAGCUUAUGUUUAAGUUUAUAAUGGGUUACAAUUUUUAUAUUAAUGGAGAUGAAUUUGUAAGUUUAUUUAUUGAAAUUGGAUUUGAUAGUAAAUUUAUAUAGAUAAAUAUUUUGAUAAUAGCUCUAAAAUAUG
rnacentral:rRNA from 1 species